rnacentral:ncRNA from 1 species
UAAAUUUGAUUCUGGUUUAUAAAAAUUGUUUUAUUAUAGUUAUAAUAUGUAAGUUUUAGCGUGAUAUAAUUUAUAUUUUAAAAGUAUAUUAAUUUUCAUUCGCAGUUUUUUAUAUUAAUAAAUUUAUUAAUAUAAGAUUUAGCUAAUAAUUUAAUGACUAGCAAAAAUUGUGCCAGCAGCUGCGGUUAUACAUUUUUAGUCAAUAUAAUUUUUUUUGGACAAUUAUUUAUAGAUUGAUUAUUUAAUGAUUAAUGUAUUUUUAGUUUUAAGGUAAAAUUUUAAAUUAAAUUUUGAUGAUUUGGUUAUGGAAAAUUUUAUUUAUAAGAAAUUUUUAUUAUAAACUAGGAUUAGAUACCCUAUUAUUUUAAAUGUAAAUUUAUGUCUUAGUAUUAAUAGUUAUGAUCUUUAAAUUGAAAGAAUUUGACGGUAAUCUUAAUCAUUUUAGAGGAACCUGUUCUGUAAUUGAUAAUCCACGAUGAAUUUUACCUUUAUUGAAUAAAUUAAAAUUGUUUGUAUAUCUCUGUUUGAUGAAUGUUUUAUUAGGAUAAUUUUCUUUUAAUUUUAAUUAAAUUUUAUGUCAGGUCAAGGUGCAGCUAUAUAAAGGGUUGAAAUGGGUUACAUUUAAUGAUUUUUUAUUAUUGGAUUAAAAUUUUAUUACAUUUAAUAAUUUAUGAAAUUGGAUUUAAUUGUAAUGUUUAAUAUAUAUUAUUCAUGAUAUAUGUUCUUGAUUAAGUACACAUCGCCCGUCGCUCUCAUUAAUAAGAUGAGAUAAGUCGUAACAAAGUAGUACUAUCGGAAGAUGGUUCUAGAAUUAAA